rnacentral:lncRNA from 1 species
GAGGCCAUCCAUGCCGCAUCCAUCGUGACCUAGACGUCGCCGGACCACCUCCCGCGGGACCCGGUGGCGAGUCAGUGUGGGAGCAGGGGAGGAAGGUAGACGCGGUUGGUAGAGGAAGUUCGUUCAUCGCAGCCCGCAGAGGUCCACCACCACCACGACAACGCUAGCAGAUCUUCAUCCUAAUUCAUGUAUGAAAAUUUUCGGUUGUUGUUCUAGUUAAGAACAUUUGCCUUCUCUAUAUUGCCUUUUAGAUUUAAUUGUCAACUUGUCACAAAUCGUGUAUCAACAAUGAUAAGAAGCCUGCUAUAUCACGUAACGGGUGAUCUGAACUUGGGUAGUUGGGUUAAUAGCUCGAUGAACUUUGAAUUCAGGAUUAACUGGAUAAUUUUGAUGCUUAUCUGUUGUUGCGUAGAGCGCUUCAGUUCUUUCCAGCGCUUCGGUCUUUCCAACGCCAUGAUUCCGGUUAUUGUGGAGUAGCACAGAGUGCCGGAGGAAUCUGUUGGAUUCUCCUGGUGCUGGCUCGGUUCCUUGGGAGUUGGUGGUGGUGUGCCUUGAGCGAUUUGGUGCGCCGCGGAUUGUUGUUGGGCGAGGGUGACUACACAGACAAGGGUCGUGUGGAGAGCCGAGGCGAGGAGGAGGGAAGGGAAAGGGGGCGCAUGGACGAGUAGUGGCUGGGGGAGUUCUGGGUUUGUCAUUGACUCCUUUCUCAGCCCUUCUUAGUGUGGUGGGGUGGAAAAAGAUGAGCUUUCUUUUACUGAUGCAUCGUUCUGCAUUUUCUGGCUGUAAAAUGUCAAUGUCAAAUUGAUGGUAACAGUAUGCUAGCACUCUUCUUUUUUCCUUAAUCAUUUGGAGGUGUUAUUAAUUCUAUAUGAUGCACUCAAAUUUUGUUGAUACAUUGAGCUCAACUUCCCUGUUUUUCCUUUAGAUUUUACUUAUUGUAGAAAUUGUUUUAUAUUGUUGGUAGGUGUUAUUGACCAUGUAAGGAGACAUAUACUUUUCUAGCUUGAUGGAUGAGGCGAACAAUAACUUGUCUUUGGAUGACUUCAGUGUCCUGCCUGAGGUAAAUCCAUCAGGCAAUGAGCAUGAACCACCCAUUGUUCAGAGUACUCCAUUAUCAAGACCCAAUUAGAAAAGGACAAA